rnacentral:rRNA from 1 species
AUGUUACUUGACCAUGACGAACCUACGAACUAUGAGGAAGCGACGAUGAGCCCAGAUUCCGCGAAAUGGCUUGAGGCCAUGAAAUCUGAGAUGGGAUCCAUGCAUGAGAACAAAGUGUGGACUUUGGUUGACUUGCCCGAUGAUCGGCAAGCCAUCGAGAAUAAAUGGAUCUUCAAGAAGAAGACUGACGCUGACGGUAAUGUUACUAUCUACAAAGCUCGACUUGUUGCGAAAGGUUUUCGACAAGUUCAAGGAGUUGACUACGAUGAGACCUUCUCACCCGUAGGGAUGCAUAAGUAUGUCCGAAUCAUGUUAGCAAUUGCUACAUUUUAUGACUAUGAAAUUUGGCAAAUGGAUAUAAAGACUGCAUUCCUGAAUGGAUUUCUGGAAGAAGGGUUGUAUAUGAUGCAACUUGAAGGUUUUAUCGAUCAAAGGAUGCUAACAAAGUGUGCAAGCUCUAGCGAUCCAUUUAUGGACCGGUGCAAGCAUCUCGGAGUUGGAAUAAACGUUUUGAUAGUGUGA